AGCACACAGCUACAGAUGAGGCACUGCAGCAAUUGUUGGUAGCAUACUGGCCAAAAUCAGAAGGGUCAUACAUAGGUAUACCUAUGAGGCAAGUCCUGAACGGAUCCGUGGACAAUGCCAUGGACAGACAAAAUUCUGAUAUACCAGUCUAAUUAGCCCAUGUCACCCACAGAUUUCGUCGCGGCUCAAUCUUGGUCACGAGCACAAGCACUGCUGGAGGUAUUAGAAUCACCAUCAGUAACUUCCCCAUCCCUUGAGACAUCUUGGGCGGCCUUCACAAAUUGGCUUGGCACCCAAACUGGUCCUGCUCAGCAUACUGACCUAUGGACUGUUAGCUCAAACCCCACCCUUGGAAGCCCUGAUCCAUCCAUUCCGAGCUGGAGGUUGGGUUCUGAUGUGAACAUGGAGAGAAUAGAAGCUGCAACCUGAGUGGGACGGACUGUUCCAAGUGCUCCUGACUACUGAGACGACAGUAAGAACGGCUGAGAAAGGGUGGACUCAUUCCUGGGUAAAAGCAUCAGUUAACCCUGAUACCAGAGAGACUGCCUUAACAAAGACUUCUAAGGUUAAAACUGUUGAAACUAUCUAUGUAAACCUUUAACUUCUCCUUAGAAGAAUUCUUAAUGAAUUAAUGAGUAAAAGGGAUUGAAUUACACAGAAUUGGAGUGUUUACAGGGAACACUCCCUGGAAGUGGGAGAAAAAGAAAGGGGGCUAUUUAAUCCCCACCAGAAGAAUCCUUAUCAGUUUGUGAUUUUUAUUGUUUUUUCUUAAUUAUUAUUUCUUAAUUAUUACAGGGAUGUAUAUACAAAUAUACAUGUACUUGUGUUUUAAGUUUAUCUUAGGAAUACCUGUUCUCAAUGGAUUAUUGAUAGGAUGGAGGGAAAAAUCAGUAUUUCCAAUUAA